rnacentral:tRNA from 1 species
GCUGGUGUGGCUCAGUGGAUAGAGCAUUGGCCUGCAGACCAAAGGGUCCCGGGUUCGAUUCCGGUCGAGGGCA